AUGGGGAACGGGGACCGGACAGCCGUGUCUAUAGUUUCAAAGGUUUUUGUAUGGCCGUUGCAUGUGUUCGUAUCACUGUGGUACACUUUUGGUGGAGGCACUAGACUGGAUGUUGGAAGUGAUGUUCCUCCCACCCUGACGGUCCUGCCCCCCUCCAGUGUGGAGCUACGACAGGGGAAGGCCACUCUCAUGUGCCUGGCCAACAAGGGCUUCCCCUCAGACUGGAAGCUGAGCUGGAAGGUGGAUAGGAGCAGUAGCAGCACCUGGGAGGUGACCGGGAGCCCUGGGGUCCUGGAGAAGGACGGCCACUACAGCUGGAGCAGCACCCUGACCCUUCCUGUCGACCAAUGGAGGAAGGUCGGCUCUGUGACCUGUGAGGCCACCCAGGGCUCCCAGUCUCCACUCUCUGAGACACUGAGGAGAGACCAGUGUUCUGACGAAUGAGCUCCUUCUCUGACUCCACAGUUUUACUCUGUUCUGCACUCAGCGCCUCUUCGUCUUACUGAUCCAGCACUACUAGUACCACAGGAGGUUGGUGGCACCUUCAUUGGGGAGGACGGCUCAUAGUUAUGGCCGGAACGGAACAAAUUGAAUGGUAUCAAACUCAAACACAUGGUUUCCAUGUGUUUCAUACCAUUCCAUUCACGCCAUUCCAGACAUUAUUAUGAGCCGUCUUCCCCUCAGCAGCCUCCUAUGACUAGCACACUUUUGCUGGGCUAGACCCUGUGUGGGAAUCCUUACUCUAGAAUAUCUCUCUGAUUCUGAUGUCAUAGAUCUUCUUGGCUUUCAUAUCACCUGUGAUGUGCUUUAGUGCUGUAAUGCUGUUGGUUCUGACAUGUUGAAAUAAUAAAGAUGUUUAAUCUU